AGAGUUUGAUCCUGGCUCAGAACGAACGCUGGCGGCGUGGAUAAGACAUGCAAGUCGAACGCUGAUUACAGGGUAGCAAUAUCAUGUAGUCGGAGUGGCGCAAGGGUGCGUAACACGUGGGUAAUCUGCCAUAAAGUUUGGGAUAACUCGCUGAAAGGCGAGCUAAUACCGGAUGUGAUAAUCGGGAGGCAUCUUUUGAUUAUCAAAGCUGGGGACCGUAAGGCCUGGCGCUUUUUGAUGAACCCGCGGCCUAUCAGCUAGUUGGUGAGGUAACGGCCCACCAAGGCUAAGACGGGUAGCUGGUCUGAGAGGACGACCAGCCACACUGGAACUGAGACACGGUCCAGACACCUACGGGUGGCAGCAGUCGAGAAUUUUUCACAAUGGGCGCAAGCCUGAUGGAGCGACGCCGCGUGGGGGAUGAAUGGCUUCGGCCCGUAAACCCCUGUCAUUUGCGAACAAACCUUGCUAUUUAAAAGAUGGCAAGUUGAUGGUAGCGAAAGAGGAAGGGACGGCUAACUCUGUGCCAGCAGCCGCGGUAAUACAGAGGUCCCAAGCGUUGUUCGGAUUCACUGGGCGUAAAGGGUGCGUAGGUGGCGAGGUAAGUCUGAUGUGAAAUCUCCAAGCUUAACUUGGAAAUGGCAUUGGAAACUACCUUGCUCGAGGGUUGGAGGGGGGACUGGAAUACUUGGUGUAGCAGUGAAAUGCGUAGAUAUCAAGUGGAACACCAGUGGCGAAGGCGAGUCCCUGGACAACUCCUGACACUGAGGCACGAAAGCUAGGGGAGCAAACAGGAUUAGAUACCCCGGUAGUCC
rnacentral:rRNA from 1 species